GCUGUGAAAUCCCGGGGCUCAACCCCGGGCCUGCAGUGGGUACGGGCAAGCUAGAGUGCGGUAGGGGAGAUUGGAAUUCCUGGUGUAGCGGUGGAAUGCGCAGAUAUCAGGAGGAACACCGAUGGCGAAGGCAGAUCUCUGGGCCGCUACUGACGCUGAGGAGCGAAAGCAUGGGGAGCGAACAGGAUUAGAUACCCUGGUAGUCCAUGCCGUAAACGUUGGGAACUAGAUGUAGGGCCUGUUCCACGGGUUCUGUGUCGUAGCUAACGCAUUAAGUUCCCCGCCUGGGGAGUACGGCCGCAAGGCUAAAACUCAAAGGAAUUGACGGGGGCCCGCACAAGCGGCGGAGCAUGCGGAUUAAUUCGAUGCAACGCGAAGAACCUUACCAAGGCUUGUCAUAGCCGAGAACGCUGUAGAGAUACAGAACUCUUUGGACACUCGGUUACAGGUGGUGCAUGGUUGUCGUCAGCUCGUGUCGUGAGAUGUUCGGUUAAGUCCGGCAACGAGCGCAACCCUCGUCCUAUGUUGCCAGCACGUUAUGGUGGGAACUCAUGGGAUACUGCCGUGGUCAACACGGAGGAAGGUGGGGAUGACGUCAAGUCAUCAUGCCCCUUAUGUCUUGGGCUUCACGCAUGCUACAAUGGCCGAUACAAAGGGCUGCGAUACCGCGAGGUGGAGCGAAUCCCAAAAAGUCGGUCUCAGUUCGGAUUGGGGUCUGCAACUCGACCCCAUGAAGUCGGAGUCGCUAGUAAUCGCAGAUCAGCAACGCUGCGGUGAAUACGUUCCCGGGCCUUGUACACACCGCCCGUCAAGUCAUGAAAGUCGGUAACACCCGAAGCCGGUGGCCUAACCCUUGUGGAGGGAGCCGUCGAAGGUGGGACUGGUGAUUAGGACU
rnacentral:rRNA from 1 species